AACGAACGCUGGCGGCGUGGAUUAGGCAUGCAAGUCGAACGCGAAAGAGGGGGAAACCCCUCAAGUAGAGUGGCGAACGGGUGAGUAACGCGUGAAGAACCUGCCUUCAACAGGGGGAUAACACUCCCAACGGGUGCUAAUACCGCAUGAGACCACGGAGCUGCAUAGCUCUGAGGUCAAAGGUGGCCUCUAUUUAUAAGCUACCGGUUGAAGAUGGCUUCGCGUCCCAUAGCUAGUUGGCGGUGUAACGGACCACCAAGGCGACGAUGGGUAGCUGGUCUGAGAGGAUGGUCAGCCACACUGGGACUGAGAUACGGCCCAGACUCCUACGGGAGGCAGCAGUCGAGAGGCUUCGGCAAUGGGGAAACCCUGACCGAGCGACGCCGCGUGGAGGAUGAAGGCCCGUU
rnacentral:rRNA from 1 species